AUCACCGCGCCCAGCGGCCCUCCGCCCCCUCCCUCUGGCCUCCAAAGGGGUGCAAUUUGACAAGCGCCGGGGGCAAUAUUUUCUUCCUCGUCGGUGUCGCUCUUCCGAUUAUCGUUCACUCACUCCUAAUCCCUAUUCACCAUUGCAAUCAAAUUGUACGCGGAGUAACUUAAACCCAAUUAUACUUUCAGAAGACAUCUCUAAGGCGUUGCGAACGAAGGCCUGCUCAAGCCCCUUCCUCGGGAACCCACAGGAGAGGUGUCAGCCCCGUGGAGCGCCUGUGGGAUCUGCACUCCUGGUCUUCCAGAGAGCCCACCGCCUCCCUCCCCGGCUCCCCAGACCCCUGGCCAGCCCGGGCCGUCCACCCAGUCUCUGCUGAAGGACGGUCUUCCCUGCCUCUUGCCCAGCUGCUUCCAAGAGAUGAAUUCCUUUUUCUAAGAUACCAUUUAAGUAGUCCCCAGUUUUGUAUAGCUUCCUGGAAGACUUCAAGCAGAGCUGGCCAGUCCGUCUUCGGUAGCCAUAGGGCCUACCUCUCUCUUUUUCCACUUUCCUUGAUCUUUUUGCAGUUUAUACAGCUUGCCUGAAUCUUUCUGGCAAACCCACCCGAAGGCUUUCCUGCUUCAGCAGAAACACGUCAAUCACUCUAAGAGUCCGGCCUCUCUACGUGUCCUGUGCCAUUACGUGCAAGGAAAACUAUGAGGUAUCGUUCCACCCCUCACCACCCUCCCCAUCAACACUGUGAUUUCAAUCACCCUUCCAUCUUUUUUAACAGUAUCAGCAUAUCGGCAUGAGGAUCUCAGCAGCCCAAUCUCCUUACAUGGCUUCAGUUUCAUUUUAGAUCACAUUUUCCAUAGAAAUCUUAAGAAGUUAUACACACUAUGUUGCUUUUAAAACGGCCUUCCUUUGGGGCGCCUCUUGGUUUCAGCUCAGGUCAUGAUCUCAUGGUUUGUGAGUUCAAGCCCCACGCCUAGGCCCUGCACUGACA